rnacentral:lncRNA from 1 species
AAUAAAUAAAUCUAUGUUAAAUUUACAUAUUCUUUACUAUCUUAAAGAAUGUGUAAUAGGAAAGGUAAAAGUCAGAUUAGUGGAGUAUUAUCUAAUCAUUAGAACUUAAGAUACUGACAUGGAAAAUUGUCUGCCACAUUGGACCUGGAAAAACAAAGUAGAUCAUAAGGUGGUAUAUGCAACACAUUAUAUAGAGUUGCACAUAAUAUGCACUCAAUAAAUGUGUAUAUUACUAUUGUAUUAUUGCUUGUACUAACUCUUAUGUGUAGUCUGCUUUCUCUUAUAGAAAUCUGUGCAGAUGCAGGACCAUCACCUUUGCCAUGUGGUACUUUCUUAGCCUGUGCAUAUCUGAAAAACAUAAACAUGCUUAGCAGUAUGAGGUAAGAAUUAAUUGCACCAAUAAAAAUUCAUUGGGCCAAAUGGAAUUUCAACAGACUGAAAGAUUCUUAGAUGUUUUCUGGAAGGCUAAGUUGACUUAAGAAUGCGUAUGAAGAAAUAAUCUGUAAAAAAUACUACAGGCCAAUCGGCAUCUGGAAUCAUGAAAAUAUUAAUGAUUCUUCCCAAGCCAUAUAUUCUGGAAAAUUCCAACUAAUGAAUGCACAGCCACAUUAGCAAGCAGGAGACAUGAACAGUGGAUAGACACCAUUUUUCUCCUUUGAACAACUCAUGAACUGAAUGUGAGUUGAAAGUAAGAAAUACUAAGUGUGUUUUCUAAGGAAUUCCCACAUACUUUAAAUAAAGACUUCUGGAUCCACAAGACUUCAUUUUGUGACACAGGGGUUCACAGAUCAAACAGUUCAGAAAAGCUUCAAACUUCACUAAAAGCCUAGAAAGAUCAGAAAGGAUGAAGGGAGUUCACUGCCCAAUAUCUGCUCCUGAGGAUGGGAGUAGGAUAAUGCAUAUAUAGUCGAUUAACUAGGAGGGAUGGUGAGACAUAGAAGAAAUCAGAGUCUAGGCUAAAUAUCAGGGCAGCAUCUUGGCAAUGAAAGCUCCUGCCUUUGGAACACUCCCCUAAGGGAAACAGGAGAUGCUGCUGCUUCAUAAAAAGAAUUAAAUUGCCUAGAUAAAAGCACGAGCGUGCACUGAGUGAUCUCUUGCCCUUUAACUAGGACUUCGGACAUACAUAGUACUUCAAAAUUGUUUGUUUUAAUGCAGAAUCAUCUGAAUGCACAGUAAACCAAUGCUAAAGCCUGGCUAGAAUAGAUCGUCCUACAGAAUUUGAUAAUCUUGGAAUUAGGGGGGACCUUAAAAAAUGCACUUAUUUAUGAAAUACAGAUACUGCUUCCUAUGUACAGGCCAGGUACAAUUUUAAACAUGUUUUUAUAAAUAAUAAGUCAAUCACAGUUGGCAGGAUAAUGGAAUAGGAGGCCCCCUGCUCAUAUACCCACACAGCAAGAAGCAUUUGGCAGCCAUCCACUGAUAGAAGUGCCUCAGUGGGAGCUUUGGGAUCUAGGGAGCAGAUGUUAAAAUUCUGGUAUAGGCCAAAACCAAGGAGGCUCAUUUUAAUAGGGCAGGCCCACACUUGGGUGGCAAUUUUGCUGACUAUGGAGUAAGCCAUUGAUCAAAAAUGAACGCAUCCCCUGUGGACCCAGCUACAAUCCUGUUUCACCUUGGUCCUGCCACCAGAACCAUCCUCCAAGGAGGAGUCAUGCUCACCCAUGCCUAAAGUGACAGGUCCACCACCCACAGGCCUGGCAGCAGACGCUGAAGUACCCCUGUAACUCAGCUCUAGCCCCUCAUCUAGUCUGAGACCAAUCAUGCCUGCCCAGAGACCUGCUGGGAGACACACCCAUCUGUGCCCUGGGAAGUAGGCUUGCUACCCUCAGUCCCAUAGCAGACCCUGAAAAAGCUCUAACUUGGCUCUAGCCCCUAUAAACUGCAGUCUGAAUGCAGUCCUGCCCACCCAGGAACCUGCCAGGAGUCACACUGUAUGUACCCUGGGAAGCAGGCUUGCUGAACUCCAUCCCACAGCAGAUCCUACGACAGCUCAGAAAUUUGUCUCCAGUGCCCUUCAAUUGUGAUCCGUGAUCAGUUCUGCCUGUCCAGGAACCUGGCAGGAGAUACGCCCAUCUGUGCCUCCAGAGGCAGGUCUGAGACAUGAGGCUGGGCUGUAGACCCUGAAGCAGCCCUGUAACUCAGUUCUAGCUCCUCUUAUCUGCAGUCUGGGGCCAGUCUUGCCCACCCAGGGUCCCACCAAGUGACCCUUCCCAGGAACCAAGAAGAAGCCACACCUGUCUACAGACCUGGUAACAGGCCCAUUUUCUGCAGACCUUGAAGUGGACCCUUGUACCAGUACCAGCCCUACUGACCAAGAUCCUGGAAGUCCAGUCUGCCCAGGGACCAAACAAUAUUCACGCCAGCUCGAGCCCCUGGUAACAGGCCUGCCAACCACGAACUGUGAUCUGGAGGCAAUCCCAUCAGCCCUGGGACCCAACAAAAGCAGAAAACCAAUGCAUCCACAAAAUAAGAUAUUUAAUAAAUAAAUAGAAAUCAUAAAAAAGAACCAAACAGAAUGACAAAUUUAUUAUCUCACUUAUAAUGUAGAAUCUUGGAAAGUCAAACACAUAGCAUUGCCAGGGCCUGGGGGUGGGGGAUAUGGGGAGGUGUUGGUCAAAGGGUACAAACUUUCAGUUUGGGAAGCUAAUGUACAUCAUGGUGACUAUAGUAAAUAAUACUGUAUUGUUGACUUGAACUUUGCUAACAGAGUAACCUAAUGUUGCUUAAUGCAUACACACACAUACACACACACCGGUAACAAUGUGUGGUGAUGGAUGUGUUGAUUACUUUGAUUGUGAUGAUCAUUACCCAGUGCAUACAUACAUCAAAUCAUCAUGUCGUAUACCUUGAAUAUAUACAAUUUUUGUCAAUUACACCCUAAUAAAUCUGGGAAAAAACUCAAUCCCCAUAAGAACUCUAUGAGGUACAUGAUAUUAGUACCAGCACUUUACAAGUGGGAAGACUGAAGAACAAGAGUAUAAAUAACUUUGUCUUGGUAGCAUAGCUGCUUACUGGUGGAACAGAGACUUGACCCCAGGAAGUCUGGACCCAAAGUCUGCAUCCUAAACCUUGCAAAUGCAUUGCCUUUUAUCUUGGUAGGCAUUCAGUAUUGCUUUUUCUAGAUAGGAAAGACUGUAUUAGUACAUAUGAACAUCAUGCAUAACAUUUAUUCUAAAAAAGAAUUUGACUCACAAUCUUGAUUCUGGGAAUAUCUGAUUUUACUGAAAGAUUAUUUGCUAAUUACUCUUCCCAAAUCUUAUGAAUAGGAUGAAUGAAGCAGGCACAAUUUGAGGCGUUUUGUAUUUAAUACUAUUUUACUGCCUACCAUAUUUUCACCCAAUCUAAAUAUGCAAGGCCCAAAUCAGCAAAUUUUCCACAUCCAUUGUUCCCACUUCCAGUUAGUAUUGACAUUAUAUAUUACAUUUUUUUGUAUCUUCUAUAACCAAUCGAGUUCAUUCUCUCUUCUCCCCGUUCUUUCUGCUCCACUGAGGUUCAAAAGCCCAUUCCUGGUUUAUUGUAGAACCGCCCUAAGCAUUCUCUCCCUCUCCUAUCUGCCUGUUUUAGCCAUAGCAGAGAUUGCUGGUUAAGGAGACUUGGGAAGGUGUCGGCUCAGCAGUUUCCAGGCAUGGCAAGAAGUGUCCUGAGGCAGAGGCACAGUUAGAUGGACAGGGACCAAAAUGAGAUCACUCAUGGUGCUGAAGCAAAAGCAAGUCCAGGGUUUAGAUCAAGCAACAACAUUGUACAGUUGAACCCAAGGGCACAUGUAUCCUGAAGCUAAGUAACUCAAUCUUCAGAGUAUCUCAAUGGUACAGGUCUCUUUCCAAGUCUUGGGAGAGACUGUAGCAAAGGUCCCUAAAAUUAUAUAAGUGCAAAAAUCCAAAACCUAAAUCUUCUCAUUGAAGCUAUGGCUUUAAUCACACCUUCAAGGUGGAAUUUGGUUCAGCUAUUUAGAAAAUUGGAAACCAGAUAAAAUGCAUAUCUGGUGUCCUAAAGCCUGCCUCACUCCACCUUUGAGGAAAUCUUACUUUGUUUUAUAAAUUAUUGAAGCUAACCUGAGUUUGAGAUAGAUCUUAUUCUUUUCCUAAAAGCAUCCAGGAAUAAAAAUGAUUUGCCAGGAUUUUGAGUCCUAGCCUAGGGUCAGUGUGCAUGAGGGUCACUCAUAGCAUGGCAUGAGAACAACUGAAAGAUGCAUGGCCUGUUCAUCAGGACUGUCCAAGAGGUGGAAGUAACUGGGAGCGGACAAUGUAGUGAAUUUAAGCAACUCCUGUAAAGAGAAGAGGUCUGAUGAAAAGUGUGACUCCAGCCCUCAGCCAACAUUGUUUUGCUGGUGAAAUUCAGCUGAUAAGAAGGAUACUUUGAGGAGGAGAAAGAAUUAGCCAAGAGCACCCAGUAGCAUGACAGAGGAGUGUGGGAGAAAGGGAGAAGCUGUUCCCCUCCCUGUCACUUGGGGAGUUAAGAGGGUGAGGCAGUGAAUGGGAAGGUACAUCAGAUUUCCAAGAACAAAGGUUCUUGAGACUAUGCGGCAGCCUCAGAUCCUUCUUCCUCCCAGCUGCCCCAAGGAUUCAUUGCCAAGCCAGCAGCCACUCUGAGCUCCUGAGAAAAAAAGCAUCGCAGAACCUCAGAGCUGGCUGAGCUGCAUGGCUAGACAUUCAACAGUGCCAUGGUGAGCCACAAACCGAGAAGGUCAGGGUGGAGGAAGCACUUAGAAAAAUGGGAUUGAGAAUAUAGAAAAUGAACAAUGAAUAAAGCUCAGUCUUUGGGAGGUGAUCAGGGUGAAAAAGAUGGGAGUAAGAGUUUGUAUUAUGCUGUUCUUGCAUUGCUAUAAAGACAUACCUGAGACUGGGUAAUUUAUAAAGAAAAG